AAAUUCCCCCUCAUCUCAGCCCUAAAUAAAAUUCAUAUGGCAGAUUGGACUUGUUGCUAGAAGAGGAGCAACAUUCGAUAUUUUUUUUAUUCUCCAGAGGAAAAAAUGAGCACCAGUGACAAAAAUAAUAUGAUGUAAGACCAGUAACUUGACUGAGGAUGUGAAAGUGAUUAAAUUAUCAGUAAGACUAUCCAAGGGUGAAUGACGUCAUCUAACCUAAUCAACAAGAUGUAGAAAAUAACUUGGAUACUCCAACAAAGAUGGAUCAGCAGAGUGAGAAUAAAGAUUUUGCUUGAAUAAAAUGGAAGUGAGCUGCAUAUGAAAGUUCAUGGACACCAUUCCAAUGUCCACAGAUUCAGAACACCAUUACUAACGAGGAGGAUUAAAGUACUUGAUUCACCAGAGCAGCUGUCUUCAAUAACAGAGAUUCAAGAGAUUACAUGUCUCUCAGAUAAGGAUAAUGGACCAAUGACUAGAUAUAACAGAAUUGCAUCAUUCACAGAGGAUCAAAGAGAUAGUCAUUUCUUUGCUGAAAAAGAAAGUUCUUACAGAGAAUCUGAAUCAAGGUCAACAAUUAUCGAGUUAAAAACCCUCCAAAUCUGAGAGAACAUAUUCCAGAAAAAUUCAGAACCCUGCAGACCUGAAUUUGUGAAGUCAAUCCCUUGGGAAGACAUAGAAAUAAUGCUUGAAAGAACUCGAGGAAAAAGAGGAAAUGAGAAAUCCAAAGGAAUCCUAAAUACAUCUCUCAAUAAAUAUGGUCAAGAAAAAAAUGAAGGAGAACAUAUAAGAGAAGCUUUCUGUCAAAAAACCGUUUGUUGCUGUUUAGAAGACAGAGUUCAUUCUCUGUG